GACGAACGCUGGCGGCGUGCUUAACACAUGCAAGUCGAACGGAAAGGCCCUGCUUUUGUGGGGUGCUCGAGUGGCGAACGGGUGAGUAACACGUGAGUAACCUGCCCUUGACUUUGGGAUAACUUCAGGAAACUGGGGCUAAUACCGGAUAGGAGCUCCUGCUGCAUGGUGGGGGUUGGAAAGUUUCGGCGGUUGGGGAUGGACUCGCGGCUUAUCAGCUUGUUGGUGGGGUAGUGGCUUACCAAGGCUUUGACGGGUAGCCGGCCUGAGAGGGUGACCGGCAAAAUGGGGGAGGAGAGAGGCCCCAGACGCAGGCGGGAGGAAGAAGGGGGGAAUAUUGAAAAAGGGGCGGAAGCCGGAGGCAGCACCGCCGGGGGGGGGAUGACGGCCUGGGGGUUGAAAACGGCUUUCGCCGGGGAAGAAGGGGGAGGGAGGGUAAGGGGUAAAGAAACACCGGCAAACUCCGUG
rnacentral:rRNA from 1 species